AGUGGAUGGGGAGCAACCUAGUUGUGCGUGUGUAAAGGUAGUGCCAAGAAAAGCGAUGAUCAUGUUGAAAAUCAAUUCCCGGUACCCGAAACCGACACAGGUGGGCAAGUAGAGAAUACUAAGGGGCGCGAGGUAACUCUCUCCAAGGAACUCGGCAAAAUGACCCCGUAACUUAGGGAGAAGGGGUGCCACCGAGAGGUGGUCGCAGUGAAGAGGCCCAGGCGACUGUUUAGCAAAAACAUAGGUCUCUGCAAACUCGAAAGAGGAGGUAUAGGGGCUGACGCCUGCCCAGUGCCGGAAGGUUAAAGAAGUUGGUCAGUCUUAGGAUGAAGCUAGCGACUGAAGCCCCGGUGAACGGCGGCCGUAACUAUAACGGUCCUAAGGUAGCGAAAUUCCUUGUCGGGUAAGUUCCGACCCGCACGAAAGGCGUAACGAUCUGGGCGCUGUCUCGGAGAGAGGCUCGGCGAAAUAGGAUUGUCUGUGAAGAUACGGACUACCUGCAUUUGGACAGAAAGACCCUAUGAAGCUUUACUAUAGCUUGGAAUUGUGUUCGGGCUUCCUGUGCGCAGGAUAGGUGGGAGGCGUAGAAGGUAUUCUUGUGGGGAUACUGGAGCCAACGGUGAGAUACCACUCUCAGGAGGCUAGAAUUCUAACUUAAUUAAGGACAGUUUCAGGUGGGUAGUUUGACUGGGGCGGUCGCCUCCAAAAAGGUAACGGAGGCGUACAAAGGUUCCCUCAGACUGGUUGGAAAUCAGUCGAAGAGUGCAAAGGCAGAAGGGAGCUUGACUGCGAGAAGUACAGUUCGAGCAGGGUGGAAACACGGUCUUAGUGAUCCGACGGUGCUGUGUGGAAGGGCCGUCGCUCAACGGAUAAAAGUUACUCUAAGGAUAACAGGCUGAUCUCCCCCAAGAGUUCACAUCGACGGGGAGGUUUGGCACCUCGAUGUCGGCUCAUCGCAACCUGGGGCGGAAGUACGUCCCAAGGGUUGGGCUGUUCGCCCAUUAAAGCGGUACGUGAGCUGGGUUCAGAACGUCGUGAGACAGUUCGGUCCAUAUCCGAUGUAGGCGUGAGAAUAUUGAGAGGAGCCUUCCUUAGUACGAGAGGACCGGGAAGGACGCACCCUGGUGUACCUGUUAUGAUGCCAAUUGUAAACGCAGGGUAGCCAAGUGCGGAGAGGAUAACCGCUGAAAGCAUCUAAGUGGGAAGCCCACCUCAAGAUGAGUAUUCUGGUGUAAGGUCACGGGAAGACGACCCGUAAAUAGGCACGAGGUGGAAGUGCAGAGAUGUAUGAAGCCGAAGUGUACUAAUAGACCGUCGGCUUGACC
rnacentral:rRNA from 1 species